CAGUAGGGUAAUCAUACCCAUUGUAACCCUCUCCAUACAUAGAAUCGUAGUCAGCCUGAUCCAAAAACUCCUCAUUGGAAUACGCAUCAGCAGGCUGGCGUUGGUAUGCAUUUUGGUCAUCAUAAACCUCUGAAUCGUAAGCGUACUGAUCAUCCGAGACAGCAUCAUGACCAGUAAUACCUGAAACAUUUUCAUUAUUUCCAGACAUUUUCUACUAUGCUUAAAACUUGUAAAUAGAUUGAGGAAUGAGGACUAAUUAGAAAUAUGGUGAAAGGAGUUCCCAGUUAAAGAAUAACGAACAGAAAAAAGAAAAGAAUGAACAAUUUCAAUAGGAACUGAAAAGAGGGACUGAUGACUUAA